GUGUAGUUAGGCAAUCCAAGCCUGGACUUCCACUUCAUUCCUACUAAACUACUUGCAGAGCUGAGGAGGCAGGAGACUAGAGUACAGAGAGCAUUUUAGUUCUAUCACAAAGGUCUAGAACUGUCUCUACAGUCACAGGAAGAAACAGGUAUGGCACCGUGGCCAGAAGGGGGUAGGUAUUCACAGAGAGUGGGUAUCAAGGUGUCAAACUUUGUCUUCUGAUAGUUUUCCAGAGAUUCCUGUAGAGAAGGGAGCAGGGAGAGCCUACUAUCCGAAACCAUUCCCUGAACCCUCUGAAUUCUGAAGCAUGUGGAUUUCUCAGUCUUGUUCUACCCAUCCCCUUUCCCAGCUUUCUGCUCCUUCCCACUCACCUUUCCUUCCCCCUGGC
rnacentral:lncRNA from 1 species